CCACAGGGGUGAGUGGGACCGAGCUCUACACAGCUCGGACCUUGAAGCACAGCUCUGGGCUGUCCAUCAGGCCCGCAAGGCAGCGGAGAGGCAUGGCCUCUCUGUCCCGACGUGGGAGCGGCCCGCUGCAUAGUAAUCGCGCGUACCGACGGACCUCAAGAAAGUUAUCCAUCCAUCCAUUAUCACAGCAGUUGUCGGAAAACAUUCUGCAGGGAACAGCUAAAACACUAUGCAUUUCUCAUUAUAGUGCUAUUUUGUGUGCGUGAGUUUAAUAAAUAGAUAAUUUGCAGGUGUGUGUAUGGCAAAUUGAGAUGCUAACUUCACCGAAAUCAUAAAAGCACACAGCACUCUACUUAAAAGAAUCUGAGCAUUUGGCCACUGUUGUGUCACUAAUGUGCACUGUCCUAGCCAUCUUCAUUACCAAGCAGAAAUACAACCAACAGACUAUUUUUCGGGCAUGCAUGAGAAUUCGGGUAUUUUUGAAACACCGCCACGUACCCAAUAGAGGCAAUUAAUUAUAAGGACAGCUGAAAUUUCGGAUGCUGAAAUGCUUUGCCUUCAAAGUGCGGAAGGCACGACCAUUGUCAAAAAUGUUGUAUAAUGCCGGUUUUCAAGCGUCAACUUUGCUGCAAUAUAGCUUGCUACUGGAAGAAGCUUAUGCAAUGUAUUGUGGUGAAGCAUACCAGCAGUGGAAAGGGGCCACUGUAACAUGGCAUGACAUGUAAUUCUUUAUUUACACACAUACAUACUCUCUCCUGUUACAGCACAAGCACCAAGAAGCCUAAUAAGUGUUGUGGUUUGUUUACAAAAUUAAGAAAAAUUAAAUUAUGGGGCAUGCAGUAGUGUGGGACUCCGGAAAUUUCGACCAACUGGGGUCUUUAACGUGCACCUAAAUCUAAGUACACGGGUGUUUUCGCAUUUCGCCCCCAUCGAAGUGCGGCAGCCGUAGCCGGGAUUCGAUCCCGCGACCUCGUGCUCAACAGCCCAGCACCACAGCCACUAAGUAACUAGGGCGGGUACAAAAUUAAGUUCCUUGCCUACCCAAAUAAAGAUGUUUGCAACAUGA